rnacentral:sRNA from 1 species
GCCAGAUGUGGUGGUGCAUGGCUGUAAUCCCAGUGACUCAGGAGGCUAAGGCAGGAGGAUAGCAAGUUUGAGGCCAGCCUCAGCAACUUAGUGAGGCCCUGUCUUAA